UUUAGAGACACGGACCCACUCUGUUAUCUGGGCUGGAGUACAGUGGCGCUGAGAGGUGACAACGUGCUGGCGGCCCUCGCUCGCUCUCAGUGCCUCCUCGACGGCGGCGUCCGCUCUGGCCACGCUUGAGGAGCCCUUCGGCCCGCCGCUGCACCGUGAGAGCCCCUCUCUGGGCUGGCCGAGGCUGGAGCCGGCUCCCUCUGCUUGCAGGGAGAAGCGCGGGCGGGAACCGGGCUGCGCGCGGAGCUCGCGGGCCAGCGCGAGUUCCGGGUGAGCGUGGGCUCGGCGGGCUCCGCACUCAAAGCGGCCAGCAGGCGCCGCUGGCCCCAGGCAGUGAGGGGCUUAGCACCUGGGCCAGCAGCUGCGGAGGGGGCGCAGGGUCCCCUAGUACUGCCGGCCCGCCCGCGCCACGCUGGAAUUCUCGCGGGGCCUCAGCCGCCUCCCGGCCGGGCAGGGCUCGGGACCUGCAGCCCGCCAUGCCAGAGUCCCCCGCGGUGGGCUCCUCGGCAGCCCGAGACUCCUCGACGGGCGCCGCCCACUGCGCCCGGUCCCAUCGACCGCCCAAGGGCUGAGGAGUGCAGGUGAGCACCACAGGACUAGCGGGCAGCUCCUCCCACGGCCCUGGCGUGUGAUCCACUAGGGGAAGCCAGCUGGGCUCCUGAGUCAGGUGGGGACUUGGAGAACCUUUAUGUCUAGCUAAAGGAUUGUAAAUGCACCAAUCAGUGCUCUGUGUCUAGCUCGGAGUUUGUGGAUGCACCAAUCAGCACUCUGUAUCUGGCUAAUCUGGUAGGGACUUGGAGAACCUUUAUAUCUAGCUAAAGGAUUGUAAAUAACACCAAUCAGCACUCUGUGUCUAGCUCAAGGUUUGUAAAUGCACCAGUGUUCUGUGUCUAGCUAAUCUAGUGGGGACUUGGAGGGCCAGAUAAGAGAAUAAAAGCAGGCGGCUGGAGCCAGCAGCAGCAACCUGCUUGGGUCCCCUUCCACACUGUGGAAGUUUUGUUUUUUCACUCGUUGCAAUAAAUCUUGCUGCUGCUCGCUCUUUGGGUGUGCACUGCCUUUAUGAGCUGUAACACUCACCUAGAAGGUCUGCAGCUUCACUCCUGAGGUCAGCGAGACCACGAACCCACCUAGAGGAAUGAACAACUCCAGACGCGCCGCCUUAAGAGCUGUAACACUCACGGCGAAGGUCUGCAGUUUCACUCCUGAAGCCAGUGAGACCACGAACCCACCAGAAGGAAAAAACUCUGACCACGUCUGAACAUCAGAAGGAACAAACUCCGGACACACCAUCUUUAAGAACUGUAACACUCACCUCGAGGGUGUGCAGCUUCAUUCUUGAAGUCAGUAAGACCAAGAACCCACCAAUUCUGGACACAGUGCAAUCAUAGCUCACUGCAGCCUUGAACUCCUCAGGUCAAGCAAUCCUCCUGCCACAGCCUCCUAAGUAGCUGGGACUACAAGUACACACCACCAUGUCCAGCUAAUUUUUGUAUUUUUUAUAGAGAUGAGGUCUCACUAUGUUGCCCAAGCUGGUCUCAAACUCCUGGCUUUCAGAAAUCGUCCUUCCUCGUCCUCCCAAAGUACUAGGAUUAUAGGUAUGAGCCAUUUUGCCCAAUCUAAUUUGUGGUCUUUUCACAAAUACCCUCCCCCUCUCACAUUCCGUGUGUGUGUGUGUGACUAUCAUAAAUACUGUCAUUUUUUUCCAUGUUGAUGAAAGAGCUUAAUACAAAUAUAUAAUAGAAGGAAAAAAUAAAAUUGGGUAAUUUUCACUUCGUUGAUGUUAUUAUUAUUUUCCAAGCUUUGAAGCAAUCACAGAUGAGAAGAUCUUCAUUUGAAAACACAUAAAAGUCCUGAAAAUAGUACAAUUAAAAUGAAAAGGAAAUUACCAGAGUAAAUAAUUGCUGUAAAUAUGACCCACGAAGUGUUAAUUUCCAAGUCUUUGGAAAGUCUAAUGUAUGUCUGGGGCGGGGAGGGGAGCCAAAGAAUGCAGGAGGAAUGUUCCUCAAAAGAAGAAACACAAUUCACACAAAAGGCAAUGCUUAUUUUUAAAUGGUUCAACCUCACAGUAAUCAAAGAAAUGCAAAUUAAAAGUACAAUAAGAAAUCAUUUAUCCAUUGUAGCCGGGUGCGGUGGCUCACCCCACCACAGUUUUAUUUGUAAAAUCUGGAAAGCAAUAUAGUAUAGUGGAAAGAGUGUUACCAGAAAGGGGUCCCCAUCCAGACCACAAGAGUGGGUUCUCAGACCUCACACAAGAAAGAAUUCAGGGUGAAUCCAUACAGUAAUGUGAAAGCAAGUUUAUUAAGAAAGUAAAUGAAUAAAUAAUGGCUACUCCAUACGCAUAGCAGCAGCUUGGGAUGCUUGAUUGAUAAUACUUAGUUACUUCUUGAUUAUGUGCUAAACAAGAGGUGGACUGUUCAUGAGUUUUCCAGGAAAGAGGGGGGUAAUUAUUGGAACUGAGAGUCCCCUCCCCCUUUCUAGACCAUAUAGGAUGACUUCUGUAAAACGUCAUGGCACUGGCGGGAGUGUCUCUUAGCAUGCUAAUGCAUUAUAAUGAAGCAGCGUUAUUUGUCUGGGGUAAUACCAGAGGUUUGUUGCCCCACACCUGGAGAAAUUGAGGAUGCAGACACACACAAGGAGUGAGGUUAAGAGUGGAGGUUUAGUAGGCAAAAGAAAGAGUAAAGCUCUUUCUGCUGCAGAGAGGGAGGGGCUCUUAAGUUGGUCUUCUAGUCUCGUGGUGAAAUGCAGGGGAUUUUUACAGACAAGCUUGAGGAGGUGGUAUCUGAUUUACCUAGGGCCCAAGAGAUUGACUGGACCAGGUGUGCCAUUUGCAUAGCAUGCAAAGAAGCUGGCCAUCCCACCCUAAUCUCUUCGUUUCUUUUUUUUUUUUUUUUUGAGACAGGGUCUCACUCUGUCGCCCAGACUGGAGUGCAGUGGCGCAAUCUCAGCUAACCACAACCUCUGCCUCCCAAGCUCAAGCGAUUCUCUUGCCUCAGCCUCCUGAGUAGCUAGGAUUACAGGCGUGGGCCACUACCACUCAGCUAAUUUUUGUAUUUUUAGUAGAGAGAGGGUUUCACCAUGUUGGCCAGGCUGGUCUCAAACUCCUGACCUCAGGUGAUCCGCCUGCCUUGGCCUCCCAAAGUGCUGGCACUACAGGUGUGAGCCACCGCGCCCAACCCCACCCUAAUCUUUUAUUAUGCAAAUGGAGUCUCUACCUGGCCGUCUCCAUGUUGCCUGCUUUUUUACUGCACACGUGGCGACAAAGAAAAGGGAAGAGGGAACUUCCAUGUUGAAUAUACCUGGCUUCCAGGUAUCCCUUUUCUAUUGGCACAGCUGUCAGCAUUUACCUAUGCAAGCUUUUAGCUUGCUUAUCUAUGUUUGCAGCUUGAUUUUUCAGGCUGCUUUCUGUUAGAAAAGAAAUGAUUUGGGGGCUGCUUUUUAUUAAAAGGUAACCUUACUGAAGACUCUCUUACCCUCACUAUCUGCCUAAAUAAUUUCUUUCUAGCUCCUGUAUCAAUAAUUAGCAUAUAAUGAGCAGUGAGGACAACCAGAGGUCACUCUCAUUGCCAUGUUGGUUUUGGUGACUUUUGGCUGGCUUUACCGCAUCCUGUUUUAUCAGCAAGGUCCUUGUGACCUGUAUCUUGUGCUGACCUCUUAUCUCAUCCUGUGACUAAGAAUACCUAACCUGGGAAUGCAGCCCAGCAGGUCUCAGCCUUAUUUCACCCAGCCCCUAUUCAAAAUGGAGUCACUCUGGUUUGAAUGCCUCUGACAAGAGUAAAAAGUUUCAUUUCAAAAAAAGAAUGGACUCAAAUUCCGGUUGUCUCCCGAUCCUUCCCUUGUCACCUUAUGGCUUCUUCAUUUCCACCCUGUAAUUGCCUGUAAUAGUGAAGUACAUUCACCUUGCAAGCUUUAGGAAAGAUUGAACAAAAGGUAUUUACACAACUGUGUUGUAACUGACUAUAAAAGACAAUUUUAUUAUUUUGAUCAUCAAAAGGAAGACAUGGGAAGAGCCCAUACUGCCAACAAUAAGAAAAAUUUAAGUCACUUAUAAUACAACCACUGCUGUGGAAAACUAUAGCCACUAGGGGCUAUAAUUACGAAGAUAAUGGAUCAAUCCAAAAAAAAAAAAAAAAACACUCCUGAUUCUUUCGGGCAGACAACAAAAUGAUAUAAUUAUGUAAAAAUUAUGCCAUGAAUGAGAACAGGAAAGAAAGAUAGAAUAAAAUGAAGACAGCUUCUGCAUUUGGGAGGUAGAAUUGCAGGCAGUCUUUGUUUAUCUUAUUAUCACUAUGAUUUGUUUGUACAAUAAAUAAGAGUUAGACUUGGGGAGAAUCACUACUGAAUUUUAUCAAAAGCCUCGUCCUAUCUACUGAGAUAACAGCAUGUUUCAUUACUUUUCCCAUAGAUUGUGGUAAUAGCUUUCCUUCCAUUACCCCAGCCUCGGUCUCCUAGGUGAACAUCUACCAGAUCCUAGUGCAUUCCAUUUAAUUCAAGCCUGAGAACUUUUACUGAGCAACUACUUUGUACCAAGUUCUGCCGCUAAGAGAGGAAGAGGUCAAUGGGGGAUAUUACCUUGGUGAGGGUCCAAUCCAGGACCCCAGGACCAGAGAGGGGCCCACAGGGGAAAGAGAAGGGCUGGGGCCUUCACAGAAGGCAAGUAGAAUGGGCAGAGUGAGGCCAUGAGGGGAAGCACUUUGCCAUGAGUGUCAGAGCUUAGCAUGGGGCUUGGCACAUAGUGGGUGCCCAAUAAACAUUUUAUGAAUUGAACUGAACUGUAUUGCAUGGGGGAGUCUCACUCCCAUCCCCAACCUCUCUUACUCCAGACCAGCAUCAGGGACAAGCCCUUGCCCUCCCAGCAACUGAAACCACCUUUGCAAAAUUAUGACUGAGACAGUGAAAGAGAUCUAACUUCACUGACUCCAUCUUGUUUCUAACCUCCAAGCUGUCUUCGUUCAUUCCUGGGCAUAGGCUGAACUAACUUUGGGAGAAAUUUAGUUUAUAGUUUAAACAAAAGCGACUAGAUUGCCUUUGUAGGACUAACAUUAGCCACAAGAUUAGAAAUUACGGUUUUAGGAGUCAUGCAGCUGGAGGCUACAAGAUUCUGACCCUCCCUAAACUGCUCCUAAGACCAGUGCUUGAGAUAUUUUACAGACCCUGCAUUUGAUAGAGCAGCUGGCCCCACCCAGACUGAUAAACUGGCUCAUCUAAUCUUGUGGCUCCUCCCACCCAGGAACUGACUCAGUGCAAGAAGACAGCAUGUACCCACUACGAUUUUAUCUCUGACAAAUCAGCACUCCCGGGUCACUGGCUCAACUCACCCACCAAGUAGUCCUUAAAAACUCUGCUCUCCUUGGCCAGGCGUGGUGGAGGUGCAGGAUGGAAUUUGAUUUCCUUUAGGGACCUCAGGCAAGUCACUAGCUCUUCAUGGUACUCAGUCUCUCAUCCCCUCAAGGGCUGCCCGACAGCCUCUUCCAGCCCUGACAUUUGUGAUUCCGGUGUCUGUUGUGAGAGUGGGUGCUGGUAACAGCCCUGUGCACUCUUAACUCAGGAAAGAUUCCAUUUAGAUUCCUUGUUGGAAACAUGUUGGCUUUCUUGUGGAAGGCGACGAUUUAUGCUGAAAGUCGCCUCUGCAGUAGGAAGCUAAGAUUUCCCUCCCUGCCCCAUUUUUUUCCCAACUCCUCAAGACUCAUUUGGCCUGAGUGCAACAGAAUAAAAGAGGAAAGUUUAGUAUCAGCUUCACCGGGUUCAUUUUGCAAACCUCACUUAGAUUUAGCAUUAGGUUUAGGGCUAGAGUAGGGCUUAUGGUAGAGUUAGGAUUGAAGCUAGGGCUGUUUUUAGGAUUAGGAUUUGAUUUAGGGGUAGGGUUAGGGAUAGGACUAGAGUUAAGUUAGGGUUAAGUGAUGGCUACGGCUAGGAUUCAGGCUAGGUUUAGGGUUAUGAGCAGGAUUAGUCUUAGGGUUAGGGAUAAGGGUAGGGCUAAAACCAGGGCUAGGAUUAGAGAUAUUUGUAGGCUUAAUUUUGUGUAUAUGUAUAUAGAUAGAUAGAUAGAUAGAUAGAUAGAUAGAUAGAUAGAUAGAUAUACACACACACACAUAUAUAUAUAAUUGUGUGUGUGUGUGUGUGUGUAUAUAUAUAUAUAUAUAUAUAUAUAUUUUUUUUUUUUUUUUUUUUUUUUUUUUUUGAGACAGAAUCUCGCUCUGUUGCCCAGGCUGGAGUGCAGUGGCUCAAUUUCGGCUCACUGCAACCUCCACUUCCCGGGUUUAAACAAUUCUUGUGCCUCAACCACCCGAGUAGCUGGGACUACAGGCAUACUCCAUCAUGCCCGGCUAUUUUUUGUAUUUUUAGUAGAGACGGGGUUUCACCAUGUUGGCCAAGCUGGUCUCAAACUCCUGGCCUCAAGUGAUCCACCUGCCUUGGUCUCCCAAUGUGCUGGGAUUGCAGGUGUGAGCCACUGCACCUGGCCAGUAGGCUUAAUUUUAGGAUUAAAAUUGAUGGAUUUGCUUGGUCAGGGAUCCAUCAUCUCCUUGUGGUGCUUCUUCCUUCUGACUCUUUAGCAGUCUUCUGUACCCUGCAAAGCCACAGGGGCAGAGCUGCCCAAGGCCAUGGGAGCCCACCUCUUGCACCAGCAUGACCUGGAUGUGAGACGUGGAGUCAAAGGAGAUCAUUUCAGAACUUUAAGAUUUGACUGCCAGCCAGGCGUGGUGGCUCACACCUGUAAUCCCAGCACUUUGGGAGGCCAAGGUGGGCGGAUCAUGAGGUCAGGAG
rnacentral:lncRNA from 10 species